AUGGCACCAGCGGCGGUCGCUCAAGGAGUCAUCCAGCAUGGCCUUGAGUAUCUCCAGGGAGGGGACAUCCACAGCCUCCCUGGGCAACCUGUGCCAGCAUCUCACGGCCCUCGCUGAGGAAUUUCUUCCUGAUCCCCACUCUAAAUCGGCCUCCCUCGACCUUAAAGGUGCUGCUUCUGAGCGCUGAGAGCCCUCCUACAAAGUGCCUGCAGAGGGCAGAGCAGAGGGGCCGUCACCUCCUGCAUCUUGCUGGUCAAGCUUCUUUGGAUGCAGACCAGGACACGGCUGCCUUCUGGGCUGCUGGUGACCAUCGCCAGCACAUGUUGAGUUUUUCAUCCUUCUCAAGACUGCUCUCAAGCCUCUCCUCGCUCAGCCUAUGUUUGUGCUUGGAGUAGCCAUGCCCCAGCUGCAGGACCCUGCAACUGGCCUUGUUGAACUUCAUGAGACUGCUACGGUCCCACCUCUCAAGCCUGUGCAAGUCCCUCUGGAUGGAUUCCCUCCCCUCCAGCAUGUCAACCAGACCACACAGCUUGGAUGUCAAUCUGCAGACUUGCUGAGGGUGCCUCAAUCUUUCUGUCCUUGUUGCUGACAAAGAUGUUAAAGAGCACUAGUCACAAAAGGCAAAACAUCCAUAAGAAGGACAGAAGAAAGCACAGAAGUGUCAAAAACUGCGGUGUAAAUUUCACAGGAGGGACUACUCUGAGACAUGGAGGAAAAAUACUGAAUUAAGGCUACCUGAAUAGUAAUAAAUGCUGGCUCUCUUCUCACACAAAAGGAAUCACAACC